GCCUGCUCCAUCUGCUGCUGCAGCUGCCUCCUUGCAGCAGCAACUGCUGCGGGAAAAAAUGGCUAUAGUAACACCUGCAGCAACAGACGCUGCAGCAACAUGUGCUGCAGCAACAGGU
rnacentral:snoRNA from 1 species